AGCGUACACGGUGGAUGCCCUGGCAGUCAGAGGCGAUGAAGGACGUGCUAAUCUGCGAUAAGCGUCGGUAAGGUGAUAUGAACCGUUAUAACCGGCGAUUUCCGAAUGGGGAAACCCAGUGUGAUUCGUCACACUAUCAUUAACUGAAUCCAUAGGUUAAUGAGGCGAACCGGGGGAACUGAAACAUCUAAGUACCCCGAGGAAAAGAAAUCAACCGAGAUUCCCCCAGUAGCGGCGAGCGAACGGGGAGCAGCCCAGAGCCUGAAUCAGUGUGUGUGUUAGUGGAAGCGUCUGGAAAGGCGCGCGAUACAGGGUGACAGCCCCGUACACAAAAAUGCACAUGCUGUGAGCUCGAUGAGUAGGGCGGGACACGUGGUAUCCUGUCUGAAUAUGGGGGGACCAUCCUCCAAGGCUAAAUACUCCUGACUGACCGAUAGUGAACCAGUACCGUGAGGGAAAGGCGAAAAGAACCCCGGCGAGGGGAGUGAAAAAGAACCUGAAACCGUGUACGUACAAGCAGUGGGAGCACAGAGCAAUCUGUGUGACUGCGUACCUUUUGUAUAAUGGGUCAGCGACUUAUAUUCUGUAGCAAGGUUAACCGAAUAGGGGAGCCGAAGGGAAACCGAGUCUUAACUGGGCGUUAAGUUGCAGGGUAUAGACCCGAAACCCGGUGAUCUAGCCAUGGGCAGGUUGAAGGUUGGGUAACACUAACUGGAGGACCGAACCGACUAAUGUUGAAAAAUUAGCGGAUGACUUGUGGCUGGGGGUGAAAGGCCAAUCAAACCGGGAGAUAGCUGGUUCUCCCCGAAAGCUAUUUAGGUAGCGCCUCGUGAAUUCAUCUCCGGGGGUAGAGCACUGUUUCGGCAAGGGGGUCAUCCCGACUUACCAACCCGAUGCAAACUGCGAAUACCGGAGAAUGUUAUCACGGGAGACACACGGCGGGUGCUAACGUCCGUCGUGAAGAGGGAAACAACCCAGACCGCCAGCUAAGGUCCCAAAGUCAUGGUUAAGUGGGAAACGAUGUGGGAAGGCCCAGACAGCCAGGAUGUUGGCUUAGAAGCAGCCAUCAUUUAAAGAAAGCGUAAUAGCUCACUGGUCGAGUCGGCCUGCGCGGAAGAUGUAACGGGGCUAAACCAUGCACCGAAGCUGCGGCAGCGACACUGUGUGUUGUUGGGUAGGGGAGCGUUCUGUAAGCCUGCGAAGGUGUGCUGUGAGGCAUGCUGGAGGUAUCAGAAGUGCGAAUGCUGACAUAAGUAACGAUAAAGCGGGUGAAAAGCCCGCUCGCCGGAAGACCAAGGGUUCCUGUCCAACGUUAAUCGGGGCAGGGUGAGUCGACCCCUAAGGCGAGGCCGAAAGGCGUAGUCGAUGGGAAACAGGUUAAUAUUCCUGUACUUGGUGUUACUGCGAAGGGGGGACGGAGAAGGCUAUGUUGGCCGGGCGACGGUUGUCCCGGUUUAAGCGUGUAGGCUGGUUUUCCAGGCAAAUCCGGAAAAUCAAGGCUGAGGCGUGAUGACGAGGCACUACGGUGCUGAAGCAACAAAUGCCCUGCUUCCAGGAAAAGCCUCUAAGCAUCAGGUAACAUCAAAUCGUACCCCAAACCGACACAGGUGGUCAGGUAGAGAAUACCAAGGCGCUUGAGAGAACUCGGGUGAAGGAACUAGGCAAAAUGGUGCCGUAACUUCGGGAGAAGGCACGCUGAUAUGUAGGUGAAGUCCCUCGCGGAUGGAGCUGAAAUCAGUCGAAGAUACCAGCUGGCUGCAACUGUUUAUUAAAAACACAGCACUGUGCAAACACGAAAGUGGACGUAUACGGUGUGACGCCUGCCCGGUGCCGGAAGGUUAAUUGAUGGGGUUAGCGCAAGCGAAGCUCUUGAUCGAAGCCCCGGUAAACGGCGGCCGUAACUAUAACGGUCCUAAGGUAGCGAAAUUCCUUGUCGGGUAAGUUCCGACCUGCACGAAUGGCGUAAUGAUGGCCAGGCUGUCUCCACCCGAGACUCAGUGAAAUUGAACUCGCUGUGAAGAUGCAGUGUACCCGCGGCAAGACGGAAAGACCCCGUGAACCUUUACUAUAGCUUGACACUGAACAUUGAGCCUUGAUGUGUAGGAUAGGUGGGAGGCUUUGAAGUGUGGACGCCAGUCUGCAUGGAGCCGACCUUGAAAUACCACCCUUUAAUGUUUGAUGUUCUAACGUGGACCCGUGAUCCGGGUUGCGGACAGUGUCUGGUGGGUAGUUUGACUGGGGCGGUCUCCUCCUAAAGAGUAACGGAGGAGCACGAAGGUUGGCUAAUCCUGGUCGGACAUCAGGAGGUUAGUGCAAUGGCAUAAGCCAGCUUGACUGCGAGCGUGACGGCGCGAGCAGGUGCGAAAGCAGGUCAUAGUGAUCCGGUGGUUCUGAAUGGAAGGGCCAUCGCUCAACGGAUAAAAGGUACUCCGGGGAUAACAGGCUGAUACCGCCCAAGAGUUCAUAUCGACGGCGGUGUUUGGCACCUCGAUGUCGGCUCAUCACAUCCUGGGGCUGAAGUAGGUCCCAAGGGUAUGGCUGUUCGCCAUUUAAAGUGGUACGCGAGCUGGGUUUAGAACGUCGUGAGACAGUUCGGUCCCUAUCUGCCGUGGGCGCUGGAGAACUGAGGGGGGCUGCUCCUAGUACGAGAGGACCGGAGUGGACGCAUCACUGGUGUUCGGGUUGUCAUGCCAAUGGCACUGCCCGGUAGCUAAAUGCGGAAGAGAUAAGUGCUGAAAGCAUCUAAGCACGAAACUUGCCCCGAGAUGAGUUCUCCCUGACUCCUUGA
rnacentral:rRNA from 1 species